UCCUGGCAUCAUUAAUUUCUCUCAUUAAGCCUCAUUGUAUCUAAUGAGAGUCUUGGUGUCAAUGUCCCUGCUGUGAUAAAAUGGCCCUCUGCAGACACUUACCAUAUAACAACAAACCUCUCAUUCAUAAUCGCAUAAAUGUCACCAGCAUAAACACAAACAGACUGAAGUUCGUCCUCAGAGCUUGUCAAACUCUCAGACACGAUCUGACGGAGACGUGGCAGGAUUGAGGUUGACAGUGAGCAAUUGUCCAGUAUCUGCCACCUGCCUGGAGCUCUGAACCUAAUUCACAUCUGUGUGAGUCUUUUUUUCUCUUCAUGUCACCCUCUAAUGAGACUGCUAAUGACCAACACCUGUCUAACAGUCCAUCCCGAUCCGAGAUCAGUUUCUUUUGUCUAAUGAAGAGUUUCCAUCAGUGGAUCUCAGAUCAGUAUGUGCUAUUUUCUCAUUCAAUGGCAGUAUGAGCUCAGACGGUUGUGCUGCGGUUUGGCGUGGAGUUCACAGCGUUGACGGAGGUCCAGGGGAAGCGCUCUAUUCACAGUGAAGCGAGAUGGACACAGCAGGAGAACUGGACUCAGAAGCUGUGUGAGCGGUGGCCAGGCUAAAGUUUAGUGCUUGUGUGCUGCAGAAUGAGUAUGACUGUUGGGCGAGUAUCAGUGUGUUUUAGCUCUGUGUCUGAAAGCCAAAAAUGCUGUCUUUUGUGGAAGGCAACGAGCCCAAUUUCAAUGUUCAACAUCCUUUCUAAGAUUCCUGCUGCUGGUCGGAUUUUCAUAAUUGCCUAUGAUAUCCCACAAUCUUCACUGUUUGGUUUGACAUUUGGUGGAAAGAAUAAAAAUAGCAUUUGAUGGA